CGCACCUGCUCUUGCAGCCAGCCCGGCCCUACUCAUCCUCUUUGGCAGGGCGAAUCAGCAGAAAGUACUGGCUUUGUUUGAAUUGAGUCUUCUGUCACCUGCAGCUGAAAGAGUUCUGAUAAGAGAGUUGACAAAGAGACAAGACUUAGACACCUUUAAACGCUUCUGGGUGUGAAAUGCAGUCACUACACUUUCCCAAGAAAAAGUGCACAUUUGAAAAAGCAAUUAGAGUAAAUCAACAGGGCAAAAUGCUACUUGGAGAAAAUACAGUAAAAGAAGAAUUGGAAUGGGAUGAGAUUAAUGAAGGAAAGCUUCCUGUAGAAGUAUAGCACCCAUGCAGCAAGAAUGUUUAUUGUGUGCCACAAAGUGGGACAGAAGAGAGAGAGAGAGCCGACGGGAAUGAAGAACAGCACAAGAGCAACCAGUAUGGAGCAUCAACUGAGGAUCACAGGGUUUGAUGGUUGCCUGGGUGGAAGUCAGUAUGGACGGAUGAUGACUGAGGACCAAAUACCCGCUCUCACACCCCAAACUCAGCCUUAUCUGUGAUCUCCUCGGGUGCCAGCUCCAAGUACAAAGACAGCAGCAGCAGUUCUGGACCCCUUGUUGAUGCCCAACAACAUCCAGGAGAAAAGGGACCAUCUUUCCCUGUACUUUCUUCUAAGAAAAAGAAACAUCUUCCAGAGCAUUUGGCAAAUUUCUCCCACACUGAGCCACAUGCUCGUUCCAAACCAAUCCCCAUCACUGGAAGAAUACAGGUUUGACUCAGACUAAUCAGGGCUCAUCUUUGACUGAGGUCAACUCUCCCAAUUGCCUGGCUACCACAAAAUGAGGGAUAGAAUGGACAUUGCAGAACAACCACAAUUACAGUCCUCCCCUUUACUGCCCAAUAUUCACACACACCCUCUGUGCUAUGUUACAAUCUCCGAAAAGCCAGUGCCUAAUAAGAUGCACACAUGCCCUCUUAAGGAAGUACCACCCAAACUUCACCCAAUCAUGUAUCCAGUGGCAAACCCAGGAUCUCUGGGAGGCGUACAAUCCAUCAAGUCAAUUACAUGCACCUGGAUUGAAAAGAAAUCAGGCAGGAAAUGAGGUGGUUGUUUCUUGUUCAUGCAUGAGCCUGGAACACUGAGUCUCAGUGCUCUCGUGUAUUAAAUGAGAAUAGUAAUGUCUGCUACGCAGGUUGUGAUGCUGAUUGAAAAUAAAAUAAAAAAUGACAAAAAUAAACCAAUAUGAGCUGUGCAUAUUCAAACCUCACCUGCUGAUCAUAGUAAAUGCAUUGCAUUUGCAGCUGAUAUGCCGAGAUCCUGGAGCUCAAAGUGAUACCCCUUUGAUUAGCACAAAGACCUGCUAUUUUCCCCUGGGGUAACCUCCUCCCCCUAGUUCCUCCUAGGAGUUUGAGUAUGUUCCACACAUAGUUAGAUCUGUCAUGCUGGCUGCAGUCCCACUGUUCUCCU
rnacentral:lncRNA from 1 species